AGAGCUCCAGUUGCCGUCGGUGAGUGCUGUUUGACUUUUAUCUUUGUUGCUUUAGUUUUUUUUCUUCUGCUUGCUUGCUUGCUAUGCUCUUGAAGUUGUGUGGCCUGUAAGAUGAAGCAGUUACUACAAUUGGUGAAUGGUCUAGCUGCUGCUUAUCCCUUUUCUGUUUCUGACUUUGAAUUGAUUGCGUUUGUUGUAGUGUCUGCACCACCGCCCGUUGAUUAGAAUGCAUGUUCCGGCAGUCCACGCAUCGAUCACUGGCAAAUUAAAAAGGCAUGAACGCACUAAACAGAAAUUCUGUGUAGAUGAUUCUUGUAUAUGGCAGUGGCACACGCGCUGGUUGAUGAAGCCGCUGGGCCGGAAGGCCCUCUCAUUGCCAUGCUAAUGAGUAUCACGACGAACAUGGCCCCCACCUCAAUGCCUCCCUGUCGGCGGUGAGGUCUAGCCGGAUCUGUACAACCCGCAAUAUUAGUAAAGAAAAAGAAUAGCUUGAUUGUUCUAUGACUCUGUCGUGGAUAGGUAAUUUGCAUCAGAGGUCUAUAGGAUCUCCGCCAUUAGUUUCCCAUUAGAAAAUUGAGUUACUAAAUUAAGGAAGAUGUCCAAAGAGAGGUAAUCGUUGGCAUGAUAUGCAUCAGAAGAUCCUCAUCACUGAAGUAGUACUCCACCAGUCCACCUACAGUUUUGGAACAUAUAAAUACGGCAUCAAAGUGCUACCUGGCACCAAAUAAAGAGUUCAGGUCAGGGUGUUAUACUGCAGCUAAGUAGUAUAGUCUGAAUUUCUAACUUUGAGGAGGAUUUCAGUGUUUCUAAAGAAAGGGACAAGGAUCAGGGCUAUAAGAUUGUUGAAAGACUCAGAGACAUGUACCAUGAAUUGGGUAUAUUCCGCAAGCUGCGGCACACAUGGUCUGCCUCCGUGUCGUCCUACCUGCUUCAGGGCCCUCUACUUCUUCCCCCAAGAUUGCCAUUAUGAUUAACAAAUCUGACGAGAGCAAUUUAAUUGGUGACACAUCAUAUUUAUUCUGCAACUGCAUGUGAAUUCUCAUCUUGCGCCUACCUCUUUUGCUUACCAGUGAAGAUGGAGAGCUUUAGGCAAAAAAAGAAAGAAAAAAAACUAGCACGUGAUCUAUGGAGAAUAAUUUUGACAGCAACUCCAACUAUGCAAUGGAGUACACUUGAUGCGAUCAAUUCUGGUGUGUGUGUGUGUGUGAUGCAAUGACGUAUGAAUAACGACAGAAAAAUAUGCCUGAGGAGUAUGGGUAUGUAGUAACAUUUCUCUGUUAUUUUCGGAACAACUUGGAAUAUCUUAUUGGUAGUUUAUAUACAAAGUCAUUUUGAUAAUUAUCAUGCUGCAAACCUACAUAGUUUUCUAUAUUAAUCAUGUCAUGCUAAAAUAUAAAAGUUAUAGCUUCAAUAAAUUGAUAAAAUACAGAUUUGGGCUUUACAUAUUUAUUGAAUAUAUAUUUACAUAUGAAUACGUCGUUACGGUCGGACUCCAGCGAGCAGCAGUGGUUGUUAUACCCCACCAGGUAACUUGCUACUGUUGGUGAAACUCUCUUGUGCAGAAACGCUGAUCUUGAAAUCUUGAUCCUACUUAUAGGCCGUAUUGCAAGCAAUGUACUCAUGUUUUACUGAACAUGUAGGUAACAUGAAAUUUUGAUCUUCUCCCAUCACUGAAAGUUGUGUUUUAAACUUGCAAAAGCAUUGCUAAGCCUAUUCAAUCAUUUCUAUUUUACCCUAGAUUUCACUCCAUACCAUAAUUGAGAUACAAAUGGGUGUUACUGAUGUCGAGGAGAAGAGUUAGAAGCUCUUGGAUUGAGAAUCUGAGAUUUAUAUAGGUUCAGUAGAACAAAAAGUUUCGGAUUCACUACUCCAGAUACAACGAUGCGGUAUAUAUAGUUAACUUCGUACUUUAUAUUACCAAUUUUUCUUCCUCCAAGAGUUCUUCGGAUAUAAUCUACACCUGAAACAAUAAAUUGUUAAAAGCAAGGAAAAGUAACAAGUUCUGCAAAUUAGUUUCAUGAGGAGAGAACUGGCUGAAAUGAAGCUAAUACCGAUGUACUGAAUAUCCU